GAUAAGCAAGAUGCAAGACUGGAGAACAGAAAUUAAAAACCACCUUAAAUGAAUAUAGAUCCUCCUUCAUUCUCUCUCUCUCUCUUUCUCUCUCUCUCAGGGAAAGAAUAGCAGCCUUAAAAAAAAACCCAGUAUGUUUGUUGUUAACUUGCAUUCUUUAUUUGUUCAGUUAAAGAGUCUGUUUUUGUUGCAUUCAGAAAGUCAGAAUUCAUCUGUGGCUUAAAUCUGUGCAUAUUCUUCUGAUAGCGAUACCCUUGCUUGAAAAAUGAGGAGAAAGAAGCUGUUGAUUUGCUCAGGAUCAUGGAGACAAGAAGUAUCCAAGGGCAGUGAACUGAAGCCCCUGCUAAGAUCUGGAUACUGCAUCCUUCUGUCAACAAAGCAGGCAGUGUUAAAGAAACAAGAUUCGGAUUCAAGAUGUAGGCAAGACUUUACAUUUAGACAUAAAGAAAGAAGUGCAUUGAUGGAACAGCUUCAAUAAUUUUCCCCGAUAUGUUGCAGACAAAAUUCGCACUGCAACUGAAUGAAACACAUGGGGAAAAUAGUUUGGAUCCUCACAGCCGGAUCCUAACCACCUUUUCUUAUGACUAUGAUCUAUUAACCUCCAUGGGACUUCCUUUCAGUGAAGCUCCUUGAGAACCAGCCUGUGAAAAGUGUCCUUUCUUCUGCUAUUGGUCAGGACCCAUCUUCCAGUGAGCCCCAGUGUAGUGGUGGAUUAGAAGAAGGUGACACUCCACUCUUCCUGCCACCUGCUCAUCAAGCCUUGUGCUACCAAACUGGCAGUAGUGGCAUGGGUGUCAGUGUAGCCACUGCUGACACUACCACCACCUCAGACUCUCGUCUCUGACCUCUCCUCCUAGCAAACUGCUUCUAGCUUUUCCACCUUCCCUGCAGGGGGCGCCGAGUGGAGCAACAGAAAGCAUGUACUCAAACUUCCUGUCACUCAGGUCUGUUUUUUCAAAAGGUAGGAAAAACAAAUAAAUGGCUCUCUAGGCCGAGAGGAUA